rnacentral:tRNA from 1 species
GCGUAGCUCAGCCGGUAGAGCAUCUGACUUUUAAUCAGAGGGUCCUGGGUUCGAGUCCCAGCG